ensembl:lncRNA
UGAAAAACGAUUCCCGUAAAAUUGAAGUCACUGCAGCGUAACCGUGCAGGAAGCUAUUUUGUUGUCAUGUGACAAGAAACCAAUAAAACAGAGAAGACACCUUCAGACCCUCGUGACUUUAAGAAAAUAUUUGACCUAAACUGGACAAGUGGCAAAAGAAAAAUAGCUUAACUUUUACACGUUUACAACAGUUUACAUUUUAAGAGCUUUUUUUCUUUUCUUUUUUAAAGCAAAUGGUCAAACGUUUUUUCCAAAAAGUGUUCGACAUGGAUAUAAAAACAAAUUUUCUAAAAAAGCUUGCACUUGUCAUCGACCCUUAGUAUACGUUAGGAAUAAUACUAAAACGGCAUCAGUGGAAAUCAAGAACAGUAGCUAAGAAAUAAACCUUGUGCAUAAUUAAAAUAGACUAACUAUAUGUAGCCUAUCAAUCCAUUUUUUGUCUGACUAUUUUCUCCUUUCAACAUAGAAAAAAAGUAAAAGGAAAAGAAAAAGAAACGAAGUAGUACAAUAUCAGUAAAUGUGCUAAACCUGCUGAUUUGACAGUGUCCAACAUAAACAGCGACAGGGAAGCGAAGGCCAGAGAGCUGAAGAGAAGUCGUGAUUUCCGUGAGGAGGGGGGCUCGCGAGGGGCGCUGAGACCGCGGACGAGGGGAACUGAUGUCAAGGUCUUUUUUCCUCCUUAUCGAGCGACUGCUGAAAAACUUUCUGCACUCCUCGAGUGAAAGAAAAAACCCGAAGAGAAGAGAAGAGAAGAGAAGAGAAGAGAAGAGAAGAGAAGAGAAGAGAAGAGAAGAGAAGAGGAAUCGAUCGCCUCGCACGCGUUCCAGAGCUCGCGUUUCACCGGAGGAGCAAAGUGCUUCUGUUAUUUGAGAGACGGGCUCGUGACCUUGCAGUUACCCUUCCAUGUCGGCGACCUCCGGGUGACCCCCGCGGCGGGAAGAAUAGAUGAGCUUCCGUGAACGAAGGGAGUGAAAGGAACGUCAGAGAGAGGAGCACGUAACGCCGCGCAGACGCCAUUGUCUCCAUACCUCCCCUCUCACCCACUUCAUCUCACUCCACACACACUUACACACACUUUUACAGUUUAUACCUGAAGACAUUUAACCAGCUCAUUAAUUUUAACUAGAGUUGUAAAGGGCACAUUUUUAGUGUCUAGUGUUACAAAAAGACAUAUGCUGCCUACUGUCUAAAUAUUGUAUCAAAUGGCUUUGCAGACACACAGGGGAAUUAUACAGCCUAGCUAAAAAGUACUAGAUGCGGAGGUCUGUCUCACACACACACACACACACACACUUUACUGUCACAGCUUUGUGUAGCGUCUCAAAGGAGAUAGACUUCUGUGGGAGACUGUUAAGGUUUGUUGAAUGUGGUAGCCAUUGUUCAUCUCGUUACAACUACAAAAAUCAUACAGGUACAAUGACAAAGUUGUUUGUCCGAAAACACACACGUGUAGGUUUUAUCUGAGCAUUUAAAGGAAGAAUUAUUUAAUGGAGAGCAAACAGGGGGAAAAAAAGACCCAAGUUUCAGAGGAGAUCUCAAUAAUGUCUCAAACUGUGAUUUGCCAAUAAGGGAAAAAGUAAAAAAACAAAACAAAACAACAACUACCUUUUAAAAAUUAUUUUUACAGUUUUUAUUCAUUUUAUCUCUCUAUACUCUCUUGACCAAGUCAACAACUGUCAUCUUUCUCUUUUUUUAU